rnacentral:siRNA from 1 species
UACUGGGUGCUUCACGCCAGC